GAAACGGCUGCUAAUACCGCAUACGCCCUACGGGGGAAAGCGGGGGACCUUCGGGCCUCGCGCUAUUGGAUGAGCCUGCGUUGGAUUAGCUAGUUGGUGGGGUAAAAGCCUACCAAGGCGACGAUCCAUAGCUGGUCUGAGAGGAUGAUCAGCCACACUGGGACUGAGACACGGCCCAGACUCCUACGGGAGGCAGCAGUGGGGAAUAUUGCGCAAUGGGGGCAACCCUGACGCAGCCAUGCCGCGUGUGUGAAGAAGGCCCUAGGGUUGUAAAGCACUUUCAAUAGAGAGGAAAAGCUUGUAGUUAAUAACUGCAAGCCGUGACGUUACCUAUAGAAGAAGCACCGGCUAACUCCGUGCCAGCAGCCGCGGUAAUACGGAGGGUGCGAGCGUUAAUCGGAAUUACUGGGCGUAAAGCGCGCGUAGGCGGUGAUUUAAGUCAGAUGUGAAAGCCCCGGGCUCACCUGGGAACUGCAUUUGAUACUGGGUCACUAGAGUACGAGAGAGGGGGGUAGAAUUCC
rnacentral:rRNA from 1 species